rnacentral:rRNA from 1 species
AUGACGCAUAUGUUUCCAAAUGGAGGUGCCUCGUCCAGCUCAACCUCUGUGAGCAGCCAGAGGAGCGAGACAGAUGAUGACAAGAUGAUUGCAAUGGUUCUUGAAGAAGAAUAUGCGAAGCUAGAUGGUGCUAUGGCCAAGCGCCUUACGAAUUUGACAUCUAUUCCUCAUGUUCCCCGGAUUAAUACAUACUUCCCAACAUAUAGUGAUGCCACCAUGGAUCAUCAUCGUCUUCAUGACAGGUUAAAUGCAUAUGGCUUGUUUGAAGUGAGGGUAUCAGGUGAUGGCAAUUGUCAGUUCCGUGCACUCUCAGACCAGCUAUAUCGAUCACCUGAGUAUCACAAGCAUGUUCGGAAAGAGAUAGUGAAGCAGCUCAAGGCGUGCAACUCUUUGUAUGAGGGGCAUGUCCCAAUGAAAUAUAAACACUAUUGCAAGAAGAUGAAAAAAUCUGGGGAAUGGGGAGACCAUGUCACAUUGCAAGCAGCUGCUGAUAAGUUUGCUGCGAAGAUAUGCCUUCUUACAUCUUUCAGAGAUACCUGUUUUGUUGAAAUUGUUCCACAGUAUCAGGCUCCACAAAGAGAGCUUUGGCUAAGUUUUUGGUCUGAAAUUCACUACAACUCACUAUACGAUGCACGAGAUCUCCCGAGCAAGUACAAGCCUAGAAAGAAGCACUGGUUGUUUUAG